GUGAGGAAUUUUCCGCAAUGGGCGAAAGCCUGACGGAGCAAUGCCGCGUGAAGGAUGAAGGCCUAUGGGUUGUAAACUUCUUUUCUCAGAAAAGAAUUAUGACGGUAUCUGAGGAAUAAGCAUCGGCUAACUCUGUGCCAGCAGCCGCGGUAAGACAGAGGAUGCAAGCGUUAUCCGGAAUGAUUGGGCGUAAAGCGUCUGUAGGUUGUUUAAAAAGUAUUCUGUCAGAGAUUAGGGCUUAACCCUAGAUAGGCAGAAUAAACUUUUAAGCUAGAGUUUGGUAGAGGCAGAGGGAAUUCCCGGUGGAGCGGUGAAAUGCGUAGAUAUCGGGAGGAACACCAAAGGCGAAGGCACUCUGCUGGGCCAAUACUAACACUGAGAGACGAAAGCGAGGGGAGCAAAUGGGAUUAGAAACCCUAGUAGUCC
rnacentral:rRNA from 1 species